GCCGUCUAGCAUCUUGAUCAACACACAUAGCCAAAGCUGCUUCACCGGCGCUAACCAAUUGUUGCCGGCCAUCACAGAGUCGUUAUCUCCUCUCUCCCUAUAAUGUGUCAGUUCGUAUCUCUGUUCUUCUCUCUCGAAAAUCUCUCGUCCCCACAUCUUCUUCUCUUUCCUCCUUGUGCUUCGAACUGCUACGGUGCUGGUAUCAACGAUGUAGGUAUUGUGGACAGUGAUGACACCGCUCGCGGCGCUUCAAUCUUAUGCUUAGGGUUUUGAUUUUGGCUUUAUUGGAAGAUAUUGUCGUCGCUUGAACCAGAAGAUGCUGACAUUAGAAUUCAUGUUGUGCAAGUUGUUGCAAAUUCGGCUGCAGAAGAACAAAUCAGGAGAAGAUUGUAGAGGCAGGUGGGAUUACUUCCUUUCUGAAUCUUCUAAGAAGCUCUGAGGAUGAGACCAUACAUCGAGUUGCUACUGGUGCUAUUGCAAAUUUAGCAAUGAACGAAACCAACCAAGAGCUGAUUAUGGGCCAAGGAGGUGUCAGUUUACCGAUUACUAAUGCAGAGGAUCCCCAAACCCCUCGCAUGAUUGCUGGAGCAGUCGCUUACCUUUGUGGCAAUGGUAACCAUGAAUUUCAUAAAUGUUUGAGUUCCGAAGUGUCUUAAUUGAAAUUUAUUGUUUUUUUCUUCUUGUAUAGAAGGACAUUGGGGUCUUAGAUAUUGGAUCUCAAGCAGUUUCAAAUUGUCUCAAAAUAAUGUGAUCUAUAUGUGCCGGCACAUAUAGAUCACAUUAUUUUUUUUAGAGUUGAAGAUUACAGAGUUAUAUUAAUAAAAGCACUUAUAAGAGGAGAAAUUCAAUUACGAACCUAGGAAUUCAGGAUUUACACAGUGAUUUGAGAAAUUAAGCAAAGUACAAUGAAAAAAGAGAGCUAGAACAGACCAUUUAGUGUUAUUUUAGACAGAGGUAACAUUUCUUUGACCCUUCCAAGUAAUAAUUGCUUAAGUUUUGACGGGAUGCGUCUUCUAAAAGACGCUCCUAUAUACACAGUUCACGAUAACAGCAUAUAUAUAUAUAUAUAUAUACACACUAUAUUAUACUUUUAACACUUUUGAUAUAUUGAUUAUGUUAAUAAUCUUUAUUUUGAUGCAAUUGAAUUUGGUUGUUUGAUUUUGUAACUACUCUUUGUUUGGAUGUAAUUCAAUCAAGAACGACAUCCUAUGACAUUUUUAGUACUCCUAUUAAUUUUAGAAGCGUUUUUUCUGCUUUGUUCUUAUCUCCCUUAGCUAGCGAUGUGAGUCAAAUGACAGAGUUAGUGUCCUUUUACUCACAAGUCAUAAAUAAUUACGGAUUAUUUAAUUUGUAUCUUACAAGAACAUUUGCAGGCUUGGUUAAUUGCUUGAGGUUCAGCAGGCUUGAGCUGUUGGUAUUUUUCUAGUAUUGUAGUCUUUGGGUUGCAGUCUUGGCUUUUUGUGCAGUGAUUCGGUCGGUCAGGUUAGCAACAGGUUAUAGGAAGCAGGUUUUAGGUUUUAUGUUUUGUGCAGGUGCUUUGUUGGCUCAGUUUGUUUGUCUAUGUUUGAUGGCUUGGUUGAUCUGAUAUAUGGUGUUGCUGUUUGUUUUGUGUUUCACCUAGAAUGCUGAUUGUCAGUUUUAGGCUUGGUUGAAGUUGUAACUACACAGCGUGACCUGCAUUUGCCAUCUAAUCUGGCUCUGCUAAUUUUGGUGUUGGCUGCGGCAGUUUUAUGGUGUUGUGGUUUAUUUUUCUACAGGUUAGGAUUCUGUAAUGAGGAUUAUGUUUAAGCAUUGCCUUGUCUUGAUUAAAUAUUGGUUGAGCUGCUGACUUUUCUGUUGCUGGAAGAUGGUGAAGACUAUUGGGACUGCUCAGGGAUGAGCAGCAAAAAAGUGGGCAUCCAAAAGUAACUUCAAAAACUUGCUCGGAAUCCUGUUGCGACAGGUCUCGAUUCCGAUUCUCGAAUUGUGGAGUUGAAAUCUGUUGGUAACCUGAUCAUAUCGGUUAUUAUUUUUAACCUAUUGCAACAAGUUCUAAUUUUGGUUUCCGUUUCCAGAAACAGGUUACAAAUAUUUUCCAAUUUUAAAAAAAUUUGGCACGCUAUCUUGUGUUGGGCUGCUCAACGGUAAUGCUCACCCCUAGGACUGCUUGGCUGGCUGUUUGGGAAGUGUUGAAUUUUCUUUUCUAGAAUUUGGUGGUCUCGGCCGAAGUUGACCGUGGUUGACUUUUUGUUUUUUUUGGUUAAUAAAUUGCUUACUUACCAAAGAAAAAAUUGGUGUUUAUGGAUGAGAAUCAUGCAGACGUAAGGGAAACCAGUUGAAGAUGAAAAGAUAGAAGACAUUUAGUUUUGGAUAUGAUCAUUUGACUUUAUUUUGAACAUAAUAAUGUAAUUUUCAUAGACCGUACAUCAAAUACUAUUAUUUUAAUUUGUUAAUUUGUUAGGGAGCGGGUGUGCUCCCUUCCUUUA